AGAGGUGGCGAACGUUGUUCGGAUUUACUGGGCGUAAAGGGUCCGCAGGCGGAUCGGUAUGUCAGAUGUGAAAGCCCACAGCUUAACUGUGGAAUUGCAUUUGAAACUGCCGGUCUAGAGUACUGGAGGGGAGAAGGGAACACUUGGUGUAGCGGUGAAAUGCGUAGAUAUCAAGUGGAACACCGGAGGCGAAGGCGCUUCUCUGGACAGAUACUGACGCUCAUGGACGAAAGUUAGGGGUAGCGAAAGGGAUUAGAUACCCCUGUAGUCCUAACCGUAAACGGUGUGCACUAGACGUGAAAGGCUUUACCCCCCUUCCGUGUCUGAGCUAACGCAUUAAGUGCACCGCCUGGGGAGUACGGUCGCAAGAUUA
rnacentral:rRNA from 1 species